UCUAUCUCACCCUGAGAUGCCUGCAUAACAGCAGCUAUGUUAUUCCCGUUCAUCCAUCUUUGUCUACUUAAAGCAAAGGGCUUCAGAAACUCCAGGACCCAAAAUGUGAAGAGGCUCCAUCCAAUACAGAAAAAGGACAUCUCUGCCCCGCAGAACUUACAAAUUCAUUUCAGACAAGAUGCAAUGAAGAAUGGGGUUACAGCACAGACACCAGAGGGGAGCCAUUGGUGGCAUGGCUCCUGAAUGAUCACAAUGUUGCCAGAUCACAGAAGGGAUCAAGAAGUAAUAUAAUGAGGAGAGGCCCUAGGACAGGAGCUUGAUUUCCCCAUGGAUCAUUCGGUUGUGAAGAAUUUGCCCCUUUUUGAUUUCAAAGCCCUUCUCCCCUGAGCCAGAAGCAUAUGAUUUGCCCCCAUCUAUGGUGUUAGGUUAAACCAUGAGCUAUAUGGUAUGGUAGCUCAAAUUGUAUGAGUAUAUGAUCAUUGUAUGAUUAUUAUAAGAGUCAAAACCAUGUCAACAGUCUUUCCAUAUGUAGUAAUUCAUUAAGCAGGACUUCUUGGAAGAGAAUAACCGGAAUCUACACAAUUACGGUUUCCUGUAAUUACCAUAAGACAAAAAUAAUCUUGUAUGCCCUUUGGGCCAGAUUCUGCCACCCUUGCUCACAUUGAAUUGUACUUUACUUCACAAAUAGCCCCACUGAAAUCAAAGAUGGCAGAAUCAGGCUCAAGAAAUUUACACCCUGGCAAUAGAUAUCCCACUACACAGUGCUUGUCUUGUAAUUAAAUGACCAACCAUUAAUAUGAACGCAUACAUAUUUGUGUCCUGCAACUUAAAAUAUUACUAAAUAUUUUUUCCUGCUCAUAUAAUGAAUGAGUAAAUAACACGUUACUUAUGACACAUGCCAUAAGAUUCAACUACAGGUACUAAACAAAAAGGAAAUUAAAAAUAGACUGCCUGAUUUUCAGUAGUGCGCAACAUCCCCUGUU